UCCCAGUGAAGAUUUUUAGACCAGGAAGUGCCGCAUGACACUGUAAACAACAGCUGUUGU
rnacentral:snoRNA from 1 species